rnacentral:rRNA from 1 species
AACGAACGCUGGCGGCAUGCUUAACACAUGCAAGUCGAACGAGAACUUCGGGCUUAGUGGCGCACGGGUGCGUAACGCGUGGGAACUUGCACUUAGGUUCGGUAUAACUCCCUGUAAGGGGUGCUAAUACCGGAUAAUGUCUUCGGACCAAAGAUGUAUCGCUUUUGGAUGGGCCCGCGUUGGAUUAGCGAGUUGGUAGGGUAAAAGCCUGCCAAGGCGACGAUCCAUAGCUGGUCGGAGAGGAUGAUUAGCCACACUGGGACUGAGACACGGCCCAGACUCCGACGCGAGGCAGCAGUAGAGUAUAUAGUGCGAGGAACGAAAGCCUAAUACAGCAGUGCCGCGGAAGUCAUGAAGGCCUUAGUAUUGUAAAUCUCUUUUACCCGGGGUGAUAAUGACAGUACCGGGUAAAUAAGCACCGGCUAACUCCGUG